GAGUGAUCAAAUAUCACCCUGAGCAUGCCAGAUCUCACCUGAUCUCGGAAUCCAAGAAGGGUUGGGCUGGGUUAGUACUCAGGAGAAAGUAUUAGAUCUUUAAAGAGUGAUCAUGGA
rnacentral:rRNA from 1 species